rnacentral:lncRNA from 1 species
AUGGUUGUUUUGACUGAGAAAUUCCACUCUCAGAAAAAUGCCCUGCAAGGGAGUCGGCUGCACAGAAUGGAACUGACUGGCCCGAGCUUACCUCUCCCCUCAAAGGCCACCUACACCUUUGCACCUUUGUCUUCUAGUCCUCUUCAACCCAGCUCUCCCCAUGUCCAUGCAAAGAGCCUUGGGACGAGGAGACACAGAGGACCACCAGCACGACGCAGUGGCAGGUGUUGGCAGCUGUGGACGACUGUAUUUACUGACAGCACAUCUGGACUAACAUUUACCACCCUUCAGAUGUUUCAAAUGCCCAGGCUGGUGCUCUUCCUUCAGUGGACACAUGGUAAUCCUGGUUAUUUGAUCCUUUCCAGAAGGAAAAAUAGUGUCUGACUUGCUGGAGCUUUCUGAAAACUUCCAGAACCAAUUCUUCUCUGAGUAAGGGCUUAUUUAACAUGUGAAAUGAACUAAAAUUUCUCAGGAGACUCUAGGAAAAGUUGGUCUAGCAUACAAAGCCUUAGGCAUUUUAAAAAUCAUCUUUCAAGGGCCCAAAUAGAAAUGGGGAAAAAAAACAGUGGAAAAGGUGAAUUCUGUCCCUUUCUUAUUGAGCUGAGACAUUGAUCUUCUCUUGCUGUCAGACAUCAGAGCCCCUGGUAUGUGGGCCUUUGGAGUCUGGACUUUCACCAUCAGUCCCCUGUUUCUUAGGCCUUUAAUCUCAAAGUUGGAGUUACACUGUCAAUGUCCCUAAUUCUCAGGCUGUUAAACUUGGACAAAAUUGAACCACUGGCUUUAUUUUUCAUCUUGAAGAUAGCUUAUCCAAACUGUAUCCAAAUCAUAUCCAAACCAUAGCAUCCUUUUGGUUCUGUUUUUCUAGAAAAUUCUGACUAAUGCAGAAUUAUUGUAUAUCUUGAUUAUUGUGGUAGUGACAUAAACUUACAUAAUGUAGUAAAAUUGCAUAGAACUAAAUACAUAUGCAUACAGCAUCCACAAAAGAGCAUCCCUGGGGAAGCUGAAAUAAGGUGUGUGGACUAAUCAAUGUCAGUGUCCUGGUUAUGAUAUUAUACUUUUGUUAUGCACUAGAUUACCAUUGAAACUGAAUGAAAUGUAUAUGGGUGUCUAUUAUUUCUCAUAACUGCACAUGAAUCUGUAUUUAUCAUCAAAUAAAAACAAACACCAAAC